rnacentral:lncRNA from 1 species
AUAGUAAACGCCCACCAGAACUCUCUCCUCAUAAAAAGUCAACUCCUUGAACUUCCCCUGCUCCAAACCCAACCCUUCACACAACAUCUCCAUCACCUUCUCACAGACUCCCGUCACCCACCCAUCCCACUCACCCAACUCUCUCCGACACACCUCCGGCACCUCCUCCGGCCUCGCCCGCUCCUCCUCCGGCGACAUCUUCACCUGAACAUAAUCAUGCCAAGUCGCCGCACUCGACCGGUACAAGUCAAUGUUGGUCGAGUACUGGACCGGGUUCCCCACCUGGCGCCCGUACAACUGGGCCUUGGCUUCGUUUGGCUGCUCGUGAAAAGCUUUGACAGAGUUGAUCGUCUGGUCGAUAACUGAAACGGGUAUGCCGUGGUUGAUGAUUUGGAAGAAACCGUAGGUUCGUGCGGCGUCUGUGAGUUUCUGGACGGCGGUGGAGCGGCGGCCGGCGAGGUUGAUGAGAGGAAUGGUGAUGGGUUUUGGAGAAGAAGGUGGGCGGAGUGUGGAGAGAAUUUCAGGGGGUUGUAUGAACAUGGUGGGGAGGGAGGUCAGGGAUGAAUCGCAGAGGCCUUUUACUCCAGCCUUCGAUUCAUCAAAUUCUUUUACUUGUUCCAAAUGAUUAACCAUUUUCUUCCUCUCCUUUUUUUCUAAUUUUUUUCUUCUGAUUUUCAAAG